CCAGUUAUGUACAAGUGACAAGAUUAUCCUGGCUUUCGCUAGCUACUUUCUUUUACUGUUUUGUAGAAUCUAAAGUGGUAAAAUGUAAUGUGAACAAGUAUUAUUACUAAAAAGAAGCUUUCAUCUCACAACCGAAGUCCCGAGUCAUUACUUUGAAGAGAGAACUUGAGAUCCUGCCAUGGAAAAGAUGACGGACAUGACGUGGAAAGGAGGGGAAAUAACUCACACCAUGCAGCAGGACACCUUCAGCUGCGGGGUCUUUGUAAUGCAGAUGGCCAAGGAAGUUGCACAGAACUUCCCCAGCAUCCCAAAUUGAUAUGGAACCUUCAAAAACACAUGGAGCAAGUGCGAAAAGAAAUGGCUGAGGAUAUACUAAAGAUGUCUGAGUUCAACAAAGCCAACAACUGCUUCAUGUGUGCCACCGAUGAAGAACCUGGAUGUGGCCCAAAGACUGCCUGGGUUAGUAACAUGUUUAUCAUCUUUUGACAACAGUGACGGCAUGUAAGGCAAUUUAUGAUAUAACACAAUGGGUGGCUAAUUCGUCAUACUACAUUGAUAUUUGAUAUUAUUUAUAACGUGUUACAUUUUGUUUUAGAUUGAAUGUUUUGCAUGCCAAAGGUGGUUCCAUGUGCUGUAACUAGGAAUGAAGACAAAAUAAUUAAACAGAGCAAACAACACAAACUGGAAGUGCUGUCUUUGUUGUUGAAAAUGUAUGCUAUACCCCAUCCACACUGAAGAGGCUCUGACAUGUACAUCAACCAGGGAUAAAGAGAAAGU